GAAAUGCUAAAUAAGCAUGAGCCUAGUAUGUCCAAGAAGCUGAUGAAGAUCAGUUUGAUAGAAGGAUGCAAACAGGGAGAACAGUAGGAGACAGGUCACCCAGGCAGUAUUGUCAGGCCAUGAUUGACUGUAGGGCAACAAGAGUGGGAACUGAGAGACCAAUCGGGAAGCAAUUGCAUAAGAGAUUAUGCUGGCUUGGACUGUGUUGGUAGCUGUGAAGGUGGCUCUGGUCAAUCAAGAGCUGACUAGACUUCUCUCAUGUCAGCCUGUAGUAUGAUUUACAUUUCCUGAAGCUCCCGUGGAGAGGAAAAGAUUUCUGUUCAAGUAUGCAUCCCUUGCACCUAUC